CCUACGGGGGGCAGCAGUAGGGAAUCUUUCACAAUGGGCGAAAGCCUGAUGGAGCAACGCCGCGUGCAGGAUGAAGGCCUUCGGGUUGUAAACUGCUUUUAUAAGCGAGAAAUAUGAUGGUAACUUAUGAAUAAGGAUCGGCUAACUACGUGCCAGCAGCCGCGGUCAUACGUAGGAUCCGAGCAUUAUCCGGAGUGACUGGGUGUAAAGAGUUGCGUAGGUGGCAUAAUAAGUAGCUAGUGAAAUCGGGUGGCUCAACCAUUCAGACUAUUAGCUAAACUGUUAAGCUCGAGACCGUUAGGGGUAAGUGGAAUUUCUAGUGUAGGGGUGAAAUCCGUAGAUAUUAGGAGGAACACCAGUAGCGUAGGCAGGUUACUGGGACGGUACUGACACUAAGGCACGAAAGCGUAGGGAGCAAACGGGAUUAGAUACCCUUGUAGUC
rnacentral:rRNA from 1 species